rnacentral:rRNA from 1 species
CGAACGCUGGCGGCAGGCUUAACACAUGCAAGUCGAGCGGGGAAAGGUAGCUUGCUACUGGACCUAGCGGCGGACGGGUGAGUAAUGCUUAGGAAUCUGCCUAUUAGUGGGGGACAACAUCUCGAAAGGGAUGCUAAUACCGCAUACGUCCUACGGGAGAAAGCAGGGGAUCUUCGGACCUUGCGCUAAUAGAUGAGCCUAAGUCGGAUUAGCUAGUUGGUGGGGUAAAGGCCUACCAAGGCGACGAUCUGUAGCGGGUCUGAGAGGAUGAUCCGCCACACUGGGACUGAGACACGGCCCA